rnacentral:rRNA from 1 species
AUGAGGCCACCACAGCGACCUGCCACAUAUCCAUCUUCAGAGAUGUACUGCUGCAUCGGCCUUGCCCGGUCUCGCUGCCGCCGACGCCAUCACGACGCCAGACAGCGUCGACCUCCUGCGCGUGUCCGUCAUCACACAUCUGACACCAAGCCUCCGCUGCUCCAUGCCGCCAAGAGCCGCCGCCAAGAAUAUGUAGAACGAUACACCGCUCCACCGAAAGGGAGGCAGCACACCCCCACCCCUCACCUGCAGACCCUCCCAUCCGAUCCCAAUGUCCUUGGCGCCGCCUCCAGGAAGGUUACGGUGCACGGGGCGCCGCCGACGCCCGAUCCGCAUUGGAUCUUGGGCUAUCGCCUGGACAUGGGUCGGAGUGGAGAGAUGGUGUCCUCAGCAGCGGCCCCAAGGAGGAAAGUGGCGCCAAAAGGCGGCGUCGCCGCUGCCGGCCAGCCAAGGCGCCCAAGGUUUCCCUCAGACACCGAUCUGCUCCACCAGAACACACCGGAGGUGGAUCAGGCAAGAUCCAAAGCCAAACCGGGGACUGGGAAGGGAUGCAUGGAAGGGAGGGGGUAA